UACGGAGGGUGCAAGCGUUAUCCGGAUUUACUGGGUUUAAAGGGUGCGUAGGUGGGUUGGUAAGUCAGUGGUGAAAUACUUUCGCUUAACGAAGGAACUGCCAUUGAUACUACCAGUCUUGAAUACAGUGGAGGUAGGCGGAAUGCGUCAUGUAGCGGUGAAAUGCUUAGAUAUGACGCAGAACACCAAUUGCGAAGGCAGCUUGCUACACUGUUAUUGACACUGAGGCACGAAAGCGUGGGGAUCAAGCAGG
rnacentral:rRNA from 1 species